rnacentral:rRNA from 1 species
UACGAAGGGUGCAAGCGUUGUUCGGAUUUAUUGGGCGUAAAGCGCGCGCAGGCGGAUUAACAAGUCAGAUGUGAAAUCUCGGGGCUCAACCCCGAAACUGCGUCUGAAACUGUCAAUCUAGAAUCAUGGAGAGGGAAGGGGAAUUUCUCAUGUAGGGGUAAAAUCCGUAGAGAUGAGAAGGAACACCAGAGGCGAAGGCGCCUUCCUGGACAUGUAUUGACGCUGAGGCGCGAAAGCGUGGGGAGCAAACAGG